GAUGAACGCUGGCGGCGUGCCUAAUACAUGCAAGUCGAACGAACAGACGAGGAGCUUGCUCCUCUGACGUUAGCGGCGGACGGGUGAGUCACACGUGGAUAACCUACCUAUCAGACUGGGAUAACUUCGGGACACCGGAGCUAAUACCGGAUAAUAUAUUGAACCGCAUGGUUCAAUAGUGAAAGACGGUUUUGCUGUCACUUAUAGAUGGAUCUGCGCCGCAUUAGCUAGUUGGUAAGGUAACGGCUUACGAAGGCAACGAUGCGUAGCCGACCUGAGAGGGUGAUCGGCCACACUGGAACUGAGACACGGUACAGACUCAUACGGGAGGCAGCAGGAGGGAAUCUGCCGCAAUGGGCGGAGGCCUGACGGAGCAGCGCCGCGUGAGUGAGGAAGGUCUUCGGAUCGGAAAACUCUGUUAUUAGGGAAGAACAAAUGUGUAAGUAACUAUGCACGUCUGGACGGUACCUAAUCAGAGAGCCACGGCUAACUACGUG
rnacentral:rRNA from 1 species